UUCCGGUUGAUCCCGCCGGACCUGACUGCUAUCGGAUUGGUACUAAGCCAUGCGAGUCAUUGUAGCAAUACAAGGCGGACGGCUCAGUAACACGUAGUCAACCUAACUCGUGGACGUGGAUAACCUCGGGAAACUGAGAAUAAACCACGAUAGAUCAUAGUGCCUGGAAUGGCCUAUGGUCCAAACAGUUUACUGCCAUGGGAUGGGACUGCGGCCUAUCAGCUUGUUGGUGAGGUAAUGGCCCACCAAGGCGAUUACAGGUACGGGCUCUGAGAGGAGAAGCCCGGAGAUGGGUACUGAGACACGGACCCAGGCCCUAUGGGGCGCAGCAGGCGAGAAACCUUAGCAAUGUGCGAAAGCACGACUGGGUCAGUCCGAGUGAUUCCUGAUAAAGGAGUCUUUUGCUUGUCCUAAAAGCACAGGUGAAUAAGGGGUGGGCAAGUCUGGUGUCAGCCGCCGCGGUAAUACCAGCACCUCGAGUGGUCAGGACGUUUAUUGGGCCUAAAGCAUCCGUAGCCGGCUUUGCAAGUCUUCGGUUAAAUCCACCUGCUCAACAGAUGGGCUGCUGGAGAUACUACAAAGCUAGGGAGUGGGAGAGGCAGACGGUAUUCAGUGGGUAGGGGUAAAAUCCUCUGAUCCAUUGAGGACCACCAGUGGCGAAGGCGGUCUGCCAGAACACGUUCGACGGUGAGGGAUGAAAGCUGGGGGAGCAAACCGGAUUAGAUACCCGGGUAGUCCCAGCUGUAAACGAUGCAAACUCGGUGAUGCAUUGGCUUAUGGCCAAUGCAGUGCCGCAGGGAAGCCGUUAAGUUUGCCGCCUGGGAAGUACGGACGCAAGUCUGAAACUUAAAGGAAUUGGCGGGGGAGCACCACAAGGGGUGAAGCCUGCGGUUCAAUUGGAUU
rnacentral:rRNA from 1 species